CUAUCUGCCGUGGGCGUUGGAAGAUUGAGAGGGGUUGCUCCUAGUACGAGAGGACCGGAGUGAACGCACCACUGGUGUUCGGGUUGUCAUGCCAAUGGCAUUGCCCGGUAGCUAAGUGCGGAAGAGAUAACCGCUGAAAGCAUCUAAGCGGGAAACUUGCCUCGAGAUGAGUCUUCCCUGUCGCUUUAAGUGACCUAAAGGAACGUUUAAGACUAAGACGUUGAUAGGCUGGGUGUGUAAGCGUAGCGAUACGUUGAGCUAACCAGUACUAAUGAACCGUGAGGCUUAACCUG
rnacentral:rRNA from 1 species